UCCCAGUUGAGCGGGGUGGCUCAGGCCUGUAAUCCCAGCACUUUGGGAGGCCCAGGCAGGCGGAUCACCUGAGGUCAGGGGUUCGAGACCAGCCUGGCCAACAUGGUGAAACCCUGUUUCUACUAAAAAUACAAAAAUUAGCCUGGCAUGGUGAUGCACGCCUGUAGACCCAGCUACUUGGGAGGCCAAGCAGGAGAAUCGCUUGAAUCCUGUGGGUGGAGGUUGCGGUAAACUGAGAUCGAGCCACUGCACUCCAGCCUGCCUGGGUGACAGAGGGAGACUCCAUCUAAAAAACACAAACAAACAAACAAAAAACUGUUACCUCUGAUGCUGUUGUUACCCAGGAUUUUCUCAGGACCCCACUUCUUCAAAUCUGUUGAAAAGUCAUGGCCAGGCACGAUGGCUCACGCCUGUAAUCCCAGCAUUUUGGAGGCCGAGGCUGGCAGAUGACCUCAAGUCAGGAGUUCAAGACCAGCCUGGCCAACGUGCUGAUACCCAGUCUCUACUAAAGAUACAAAAUUAGCAGGGCGUGGUGGCAGGCACCUAUAAUCCUAGCUACUUGGGAGGCUGAGGCAGGAAAAUCGCUUGAACCCGAAAGGCAGAGGUUGCAGUGAACCAAGAUCGCACCACUGCACUCAAGUCUGGGUGACAGAGCAAGAAUCUGUCUAAAAAAAAAAAAAAAAAGUCACUGCAGGAGAAGAGCACUGGCUCACGCCUGGAAUCCCAGUGCUUUGAAAGGCCAAGGCGGGAGGACUGUUUGACCCAGCAGUUCCAGACCAGCCAGGGCAACAUAGCAGACCCCAUCUCUACAAAAAUAAACAAAAUUAGCCAGGCAUAGUGGUGUAUGCCUGUAGCUCUAGCUAGUUGGGAAGUUGAAGUGGAAGGCUUGCUUGAGCACAGAAGGUCUAGGCUGCAGUUAGCUAUGAUUGCACCACUGCGCUCCAACCUGAGCAACAGGACAAAGACCCGUCUCUAAAAUAUAAAAAAGAAAAAGUCACCCUAUUAAAGGUCCAUGCUGUGUCUCCAGGGUCUAGUUGUUCUAGGUAUUGUACAAAUGAAUUGAUGAAGUGUCUGUUCCACUCACCCUACUGCCUGUCUGGUUUCUCUACCUGUUUUUCUCCACUGCUCUGGGGGCUUCCAACCCCGAAGCCGGCCAGACUCCCUCUAGGCGGGCCAGCAGCACCAGCACCCCCACCCCCACCUCCACGUGUCCCAGCUGCGCGGGAGGGAGCCCAGCGCGAGGGCGGUGGCGGCGCCCAGCGGCCCGAGCAGCCGCCCCGGCAGGACCAGACCUGGCAGUCGCCCCGCUCCUGGCCUGGCACCCGUGAGGGGAAACUGGCAGGCGGGCGCCGCCCUUCCUGGAGGGGGUGGGGGUAGAGGGGACGGCGUCGGCAAAGCAGCGGAGGCAGCAGCAACCCUCCGCCCCGGUCAGG
rnacentral:lncRNA from 1 species